UACGAAGGGUGCUAGCGUUGUUCGGAAUCACUGGGCGUAAAGCGCGCGUAGGCGGCGAUACAAGUCAGAGGUGAAAUCCCUCGGCUUAACCGGGGAACUGCGUCUGAUACUGGAUGGCUCGAGUUUGGGAGAGGGAUGCGGAAUUCCAGGUGUAGCGGUGAAAUGCGUAGAUAUUUGGAGGAACACCGGUGGCGAAGGCGGCAUCCUGGACCAACACUGACGCUGAUGAGCGAAAGCCAGGGGAGCAAACGGG
rnacentral:rRNA from 1 species